GGCUAGUCAAAUACAGUGGGUUUACAGCUAAUUGAUUACAACCAGUUAUAGAUUUCUUUUCUUUUUUUCUCAGUUAGAUAUUUCAUUGUUCCUUCUCUGCACCCACUGCUUUACUUGACUGCCUUUU
ensembl:misc_RNA Y_RNA Y RNA